rnacentral:lncRNA from 1 species
AGUCACUGACACACACUGACACACAGUCACUGACACAAUCACAAGUCACUUACACAAUCACACACAAUCACAAAGACACAGACACUGACACACAAUCACAGACACAGACACUGACACACAGUCACUGACACACACACAGCCACUGACACACAACCACAAAGAUAGUCACUGACACACCACCACACACAGACAGCCACCGACACACAGUCACUGACACACACACCGUCACUGACAUACAACCACACAGUCACUGACACACAACCAUACAGUCACCGACACACAACCAUACAGUCACCGACACACAACCACACAGACACAGUCACUGACACAAUCACACAACCACACAGACACAGUCACUGACACAAUCACACAAUCACAAAGACACAGUCACUGACACAAUCACACAAUCACAAAGACACAGUCACUGACACAAUCACACACAAUCACAAAGACAGUCACUGACAAUCACACACACAGUCACACAGUCACAAUCAGAAGUCACUGACACAAUCACACACAAUCACAAAGACACAGUCACUGACACAAUCACACACAAUCACAAAGACACAGUCACUGACACAAUCACACAAUCACACAGACACAGUCACUGACACAAUCACACACAACCACACAGACACAGUCACUGACACAAUCACACACAAUCACAAAGACACAGUCACUGACACAAUCACACACAAUCACAAAGACACAGUCACUGACACAAUCACACAAUCACACAGACAGUCACUGACACAAUCACACAAUCACACAGACACAGUCACUGACACAAUCACACACAACCACACAGACACAGUCACUGACACACACACAGUCACUGACACACAAUCACAAGUCACUGACAAUCACACACAAUCACACACAAGUCACUGACACAAUCACAAGUCACUGACACAAUCACACAAAUCACAAAGACAGUCACUGACACACAGUCACUGACACACCACCACACACAGACAGCCACUGACACACAAUCACACACACAGUCACACAGUCACUGACACACACACAGUCACUGACACACAACCAUACAGUCACUGACACACAACCACACAGACAGCCACUGACACAAUCACAAUCACAAAGACACAGUCACUGACACACAAUCACACACACAACCACACAGUCACUCUCACACACACACAGUCCCAAUGACCAAAAUGGCGGCACAAGUCAGAGCCCGGUACCAGAGGCUGUGGAGGGAGGCCGCAGAUCUGGGCUGGCCGGGAGGGGGGGGGGCAGUGUUUGAUGCUGGGGGUGCACU